GGGCGAGUGGCGGAAUUGGCAGACGCGCAGGACUCAGAAUCCUGUGGGGUAACACUCGUGGGGGUUCGACUCCCCCCUCGCCCA
rnacentral:tRNA from 1 species